GCCGACAUAGUUUAAUGGCAGAACACAGCCAUGGUAAGGCUGCAAUGCGAGUUCGAUUCUCGCUGUCGGCUCUA
rnacentral:tRNA from 1 species